rnacentral:misc_RNA from 1 species
UGAAAUUCGCGUUUUCGCCGCAGUGGAGGCACAUUAUCUUUGUGACUUUUCCCAGAGAGUUGGUGGUGUUCGAUUUGCAGUACGAGACGGCCCUUUUUAGCACGGCAUUGCCACGAGGGUGUGGGAAGUUUCUGGAUGUGUUACCGGAUCCAAAUAAUGAGCUGCUGUAUUGUGCUCACCUUGAUGGGAGGCUCAGCAUAUGGCGUCGUAAAGAAGGAGAGCAGGUGCAUGUAAUGUGUACGAUGGAGGAGAUGAUGCCCUCAAUUGGCUCAUCUGUCCCUUCUCCUUCGGUUCUAGCUGUCACCAUCUGCCAAUCAGAGUCCACACUCCAAAAUGUUGCCAAGUUAUAUUCUGAUGCACCUAAUGCACCUUUAGCUGAUAUGGAUUUUGAUAAUCCCUUUGAUUUCUGU